CUGUGGCUCAAUAGUAGAGCAUCUGCUUUGAGUGCAGAAGCCCCCAAGGUCAAUCCCUGGUAGCUCUAGG